rnacentral:lncRNA from 1 species
AGAGAGUUGAUGUUCUUUUAACUUGAGGUUAUGGAGAAGAGAACAGAGCGUUAAGCAGAAUUACAGAGUUCAAGAGUUUUGCCUUCUCUUUAUGGUCAGAGAGAAUGAACACAUGUUCUAUUAAUUAUAAAGAAAAACGAAUGUGGCUUAAUGGUAUCUAAGACUUUUAUUUCCAUUCAUCUCUUCAAUAUCAACAAUGGAAGAAAUAGAGUUGACUUCCCAGUUAAUCAAUAAUUAAAGGUAACAAACAGAACCACAAUGACUGGAAGAGAAAGAGCAGAUCACCAUCAGUCAACAAGCAAAGCAUGCCAUGAUCAAAGCAGAAGAGAUGACGGGGGAGAGGAGAGUUUUUAAAAGACUAUGUUUAUGACUUCUGCAAUCUUGCAUCCUGAGUGUGGUGCUCACUGCUUUAACGGUUUAAUACUGAAGAGGCUCUUGUAACAGGGUGUGCAUGGCAAACAGAGGCCCCACACUGCAAACACAGGCCUGAGCAAGGCAAACAUUGUAGAUAGGUUUUGCCCUUUAACCCUUUUCCAUCUUCCUUGCUAAAAAAAUCCUUUAUGUUCAUUAAGCUACCCUCCAAGGUCUAUUCCACGAUUUGUCCACUGACUCAUUCUUGAGACAAAACACUGACGUCCAAAGUUUUAUUUUUUUUAAAGUCAUUAUUUGCCUAGCAUAUUCAAUAAGGAUUUAUCUACCCACCCUAGCAUAGACUCCUCAUUUUACCCCUUAAAAACUCACUCCUGCAGAAACACUCUCUUUUACUUUCUUGCUUGUGCUUUCUUGGGGUUGUUGUUGACUUUGCAGCCCACCAACUUGCCCCUCUCUGAUAAUCAACUCCAUGCUAAAAAUUUGGUGACUGGAUACUUCCAAUUCUAAGAUGGCUGACCCCUCAUGUAAAUAUAGUUCCUUAUGUUAUGGUGACUCCCCAACCAUGAAAGUGCUUUCAUUGCUACUACAUAGCUAUAAUUUUAAUAUUAUUAUGAAUCAUAAUCUACAUAUCUGUGUUUUCCAAUGGUCAUAGGAGUCUCCAGUUACAAAGCUAUUCAAAGCCUGAAGGGAUUCCUCUCCAUGGGUUGAGAACUACUGGUUUAGAGUGUUCAGUCAUGCUGACACCCAGCCUUCUGAACUCUUUAAUAACAAAUUAGCUUAAACAGUUAUCUGAAUGACAAAAACUAAAUUUUUGUACAGACCACUCAAAAUUAUUUUCAUUUAAUAAACAUUUAUUGUUGUGAUGUAAAAUGCACAUCAACUGGAAUCAGCUCUAAGGUGAGCCCGACAAAAGAGAAAAUAGCAUCCGCAGCAUGAUUAACACAUUAAGUACAUUGUGCGACAAUGUACUUGUACAAACAUUCCUUGGUUUCUAUCUAGAUUGCUUCCAUCUAAUGAGUAUGGUACUUGAAGAAUUCUUUUUGUGAUGGUGUGGCUGCUGGUAACAACAACAAAACCCAGGACAUUCUGAAGCUUGUAGGUCCUCAAUCACUAAGCUAUGGCCACAGCAUAUGACGUAAUAAGAUAUUCUCAACUCAAAGUGAUAGAUUAUAUAAAUUGUUACACAAUUAAAAUAUCAUUUUGAAUGGCAGCUGGAACUACUCUAUCUAGAAAGAUUGCUCUGACUUAGAGCAAGAGAACUGACUGCUACCCAAGAAGUUUAUCAUUCAAAUGAAUCAUGAACUGAUAUAAUUAGUAAAGCAUUUUAAUUUCCAAGAAAAAGAGAAGACUAAGACAUAUAUGCUCUCUUUGAUAAUUUCUUGGAAGUAAAAUCACUGCUUAUGUGUAUCUAGGCCACUUACCAUGUGAUCUAGGGUAGUCUUGAACCCCAGAUCCUUCUCUUUCUCCCAAGUGCUAGACUACAGAGAUGCUUUUACCAUGUUCUGGCUUAGUCUUGUUUUUACAAUGAGCAUUUUAAAUAGGAAAGUAAUAAAACUUACCUCUUAAUUUGAAAAAAAAAAAAAAAAA